AUUGAACGCUGGCGGCAGGCCUAACACAUGCAAGUCGAACGAGUGGCGGACGGGUGAGUAAUGUCUGGGACACUGCCUGAUGGAGGGGGAUAACUACUGGAAACGGUAGCUAAUACCGCAUACCAUCAGAUGUGCCCAGAUGGGAUUAGCUAGUUGGUGGGGUAACGGCUCACGAAGGCGACGAUCCCUACCUGGUCUGAGAGGAUGACCAGACACACUGGAACUGAGACAGGGUCCAGACUCCUACGGGAGGCAGCAGUGGGGAAUAUUGGACAAUGGGCGCAAGCCUGAUGCAGCCAUGCCGCGUGUAUGAAGAAGGUCUUCGGGUUGUAAAGUACUUUAAGCGGGGAGGCGUUACCCGCAGAAGAAGCACCGGCGAACUCCGUGCCAGCCGCCGCGGUAAUUC
rnacentral:rRNA from 1 species